rnacentral:rRNA from 1 species
UACAGAGGUCCCAAGCGUUGUUCGGAUUCAUUGGGCGUAAAGGGUGCGUAGGCGGCGCGGUAAGUCGGGUGUGAAAUCUCGGAGCUUAACUCCGAAACUGCAUUCGAUACUGCCGUGCUUGAGGACUGGAGAGGAGACUGGAAUUUACGGUGUAGCGGUGAAAUGCGUAGAUAUCGUAAGGAAGACCAGUGGCGAAGGCGGGUCUCUGGACAGUUCCUGACGCUGAUGCGCGAAAGCUAGGGGAGCGAACGGG